rnacentral:lncRNA from 1 species
GCUGGUAACGCGUCCACAACCCAGCUCGCGCUCCAGCGCCCGCGCGCCCGCCCCACCCGCCCUGCGCGCGCGCGCCUUACGGGACAGGAGGGACGGUUGGUGUUUGCGCCAACGGUCCGGGGACACAAGCCACGCCGGGUUACCAACAUGACACACAGCAAUGGGAAGAGGAGAGCACUGCAGAUCAGCUCCAGCCCACCACUGCGGGGGUUUCCUCUUAACACUAUACCUACUCUCCACAGGGAAUUGAAGCAUUUAUAAACUUGUUUCUCUGCUUACCGCCUCCCGCCCCGGGACAACACGUAAGGAGACGAGGUAGGAUGUUUAUCUUUAUUAACAGGAGAUUUGACUAAAUAAGAGCCUUUACUUUGUUACCUGCUGCCAAAUAAAAGUGAAGAUCUCAUCA